AUGCUUAAGUCUGUCCGAAUCAUGUUAGCAAUUGCCGCAUUUUAUAAUUAUGAAAUUUGGCAGAUGGAUGUCAAAACUGCAUUCCUGAAUGGAUUUCUGGAAGAAGAGUUGUAUAUGAUGCAACCAGAAGGUUUUGUUGAUCCAAAGGGAGCUAACAAAGUGUGCAAGCUCCAGCGAUCCAUUUAUGGACUGGUGCAAGCCUCUCGGAGUUGGAAUAAACGCUUUGAUAGUGUAAUUAAAGCAUUUGGGUUUAUACAGACUUUCGGAGAAGCCUGUAUUUACAAGAAAGUGAGUGGGAGCUCUGUAGCAUUUCUGAUAUUAUAUGUGGAUGACAUAUUAUUGAUUGGAAAUGAUAUAGAAUUUCUGGAUAGCAUAAAGGGAUACUUGAAUAAGAGUUUUUCAAUGAAAGACCUCGGUGAAGCUGCUUACAUAUUAGGCAUAAAGAUCUAUAGAGAUAGAUCAAGACGCUUAAUUGGACUUUCACAAAGCACAUACCUUGACAAGAUUUUGAAAAAGUUCAAAAUGGAUCAAGCAAAGAAAGGGUUCUUGCCUGUGUUACAAGGUGUGAAGUUGAGUCAGACUCAAUGCCCGACCACUGCAGAAGAUAGAGAGAAAAUGAAAGAUGUUCCCUAUGCUUCAGCCAUAGGCUCUAUCAUGUAUGCAAUGCUGUGUACCAGACCUGAUGUGUGCCUUGCUAUAAGUUUAGCAGGGAGGUACCAAAGUAAUCCAGGAGUGGAUCACUGGACAGCGGUCAAGAACAUCCUGUAA
rnacentral:rRNA from 1 species